GGGCCGUUGUGGGGGCCGAGCCCGGCCGCGCGCACAGCUUCUAGUGGCCCGCAAGAUUCCUCCUGGGGCGGCGCUGGGAGCCUCGGGGCUCGGCUUCCUCGACCCCCGCCCCCAGGUUUCCUCUGCAGCCUGAGGUCGGGAAGGACGGACGGAGAGUGGAUCCUCCAGGUGGUGGGAAAAGGUAUCUUCCACGGACCUGUGACCUGUCGCUGUGUACAAGCUUGAAUUCCUAACUACGAGUCCUUGAAGCUCCCUUGCUGCCUGAGCGGAACUGAAAUGGCUCCCGGCUGAGGCAUUCAAGGGAAAACUCACUGAAAUAUUUGAAACUACCACCAUGAACAAGAAUGCUCUUCCAGUGUGCCAGGAUGUACACCCAGAGCAUUAUCCUCAUUAGUUGUAUAUGCCAGCAUCCGGCAGGCGCUUUUAUCUUCUUUGGGUGUCAACUUUGAGAUUCUUAUGUAAGCUGCGACCUCUUCCUCUGCCUGCAAGCACAUCCACCCACAACCACGUGUUGCCUGGUUUAGAGCCUGCGGCUGGGUCCACCUGCAGGAGGAGGAGUGACUGGUGCAGUGAAGCUCAGACCAGGUAACUGUGUCCUCCCAGAAACCUAUGGAGAGCUGAAGGGGUUUUAGGAUUGUGGAAUCCACCCUCCUCGUUUGGUAAAAGAGGACAAAGGCCACAGAGCAGUGCGCUGGCUGAGGCAUGCGAUUGUAAACCAAAAGCUCAGUUUCCAUUUGGAAUGGCUUCCGGAAGGCUGGAAUUGAAAUCCACCAGUGCCCAUUUCAAGGUGCUCCCAACACAGCCUGGAAAAAAGGAGCCCAGAUACGCUUCCCUGUGGACGCAGGUCAGUCAUCAGGACGCACAGAAACAGCGUUGCCCUUGGCCUGGAGCCAUUGUCCUGAAAGGGGAUCCUUCCCAACUGGGGCCUGAGACUGAUCCCUGAGAAGUGGCCCCUCCAUCCUGGAACCCCUCCUGCUUGUGUCUCCUUACUUCCUGGUGAUCACCGCAUUCAGGCUCAGAAUGCCGCAGGCCUAUCCCACUGGAAGCUGCCAAGGUGCCCAGCGCCCUGUUGCACUCUUGUCCCACAGGACGCCAGGCACAGCAGCAGCAUCAAGGGACCAGCAGGGAAGAGGCUGCAGUGAUUUGGGGAAACAGUGUGAAAAUCACCUGGGGCCUGGCGACACGGGGUCCCGCCUCCUCCCCCAUAUUAGGUCCCAGAGAAAAUGACAAUAUGAACAGCUCAUGUCACCAUUAUUAGGCAGAGUCUUUAUUCUUUCCUUAAUCUUUGCCAUUAAAUUGAGCUCUAUAGGACCAUUUUCUGCUUUUAAUGCCAAUAAAUGAAAUUCCAGAGCUGCUUCUGUAAAAAAAAAA